rnacentral:rRNA from 1 species
AUUGAACGCUGGCGGCAUGCCUUACACAUGCAAGUCGAACGGCAGCACGGGAGCAAUCCUGGUGGCGAGUGGCGAACGGGUGAGUAAUAUAUCGGAACGUGCCCAGUCGUGGGGGAUAACGUAGCGAAAGCUACGCUAAUACCGCAUACGAUCUAUGGAUGAAAGCGGGGGAUCGCAAGACCUCGCGCGAUUGGAGCGGCCGAUAUCAGAUUAGGUAGUUGGUGAGGUAAGGGCUCACCAAGCCGACGAUCUGUAGCUGGUCUGAGAGGACGACCAGCCACACUGGGACUGAGACACGGCCCAGACUCCUACGGGAGGCAGCAGUGGGGAAUUUUGGACAAUGGGCGCAAGCCUGAUCCAGCAAUGCCGCGUGCAGGAUGAAGGCCUUCGG